rnacentral:tRNA from 1 species
GUUCUUGAGGUGUAAAAAGCACAUUAGGUUUUCAUCCUAAAGGUAUAGAAAAAAUUUAUCUAGAACA